rnacentral:rRNA from 1 species
UACGUAGGGUGCGAGCGUUGUCCGGAAUUAUUGGGCGUAAAGAGCUCGUAGGCGGCUUGACACGUCGGAUGUGAAAGCCCGGGGCUUAACCCCGGGUCUGCAUUCGAUACGGGCAGGCUAGAGUUCGGUAGGGGAGAUCGGAAUUCCUGGUGUAGCGGUGAAAUGCGCAGAUAUCAGGAGGAACACCGGUGGCGAAGGCGGAUCUCUGGGCCGAUACUGACGCUGAGGAGCGAAAGCGUGGGGAGCGAACAGG